rnacentral:rRNA from 1 species
CAGCAGCCGCGGUAAUACGAAGGGUGCAAGCGUUACUCGGAACUACUGGGCGUAAAGCGUGCGUAGGUGGUGGUUUAAGUCCGUUGUGAAAGCCCUGGGCUCAACCUGGGAAUUGCAGUGGAUACUGGAUCACUAGAGUGUGGUAGAGGAUAGUGGAAUUUCCGGUGUAGCAGUGAAAUGCGUAGAGAUCGGAAGGAACAUCUGUGGCGAAGGCGACUAUCUGGGCCAACACUGACACUGAGGCACGAAAGCGUGGGGAGCAAACAGGAUUAGAUACCCCUGUAGUCCCUGUCUCUUAUAC